UACGAAGGGGGCGAGCGUUGUUCGGAAUUACUGGGCGUAAAGGGCGCGUAGGCGGCCGAUUAAGUCGGAUGUGAAAGUCCUGGGCUUAACCUGGGGACUGCAUUUGAUACUGAUUGGCUUGAAUGCAGGAGAGGAUAGCGGAAUUCCCAGUGUAGAGGUGAAAUUCGUAGAUAUUGGGAAGAACACCGGUGGCGAAGGCGGCUAUCUGGACUGUGAUUGACGCUGAGGCGCGAAAGCGUGGGGAGCAAACAGG
rnacentral:rRNA from 1 species